UACGGAGGAUGCGAGCGUUAUCCGGAUUUAUUGGGUUUAAAGGGUGCGUAGGCUGUGAGGUAAGUCAGCGGUGAAAUGCCCCCGCUCAACGGGGUGAAGUGCCAUUGAUACUGCCUUGCUGGAAUGCGGAUGCCGUGGGAGGAAUGUGUGGUGUAGCGGUGAAAUGCAUAGAUAUCACACAGAACACCGAUUGCGAAGGCAUCUCACGAAUCCGCUAUUGACGCUGAUGCACGAA
rnacentral:rRNA from 1 species